AUAUGUUGGCUAAUUUAAAUUUAAAAAUUGGAGUGAUACAGAGAUUAGCAUGACCCCUCUGCAAGGAUGACAAGCAGAUUCAUGAAGCAUUUCGUAUUUUU
rfam:Canis lupus familiaris chromosome 1, whole genome shotgun sequence.